GCUGGCUGCCACGUCUGGACAACAGAGAGCCUCCUUCGAGGCUCAGGGCUCCAAGUGUCUGGGCUAUGUGAGGAUCCUGCAGUGUCUGGGCUACGGUCGGGCAGAGUCCGUUUCCUGCAAGUGAUAGAGAUGUUGUCACCAGGAAUGGCAGAAGGUGCUGCGGGGAAAUAGAGGUGGGUCCGGACUGGACAUUUGUCUGGUAGGAGCUGAAGGCGGUGGAAACCCAGAUAGGAUGAAGGGAAAGGCUCCAGCGAACCUGGCAGCCUGAAGCCACUGCUGGGGGUGUGGUGUAAUAAAAAAUACGUGUUCUUA